UCCCGUAAACGGCGUAAAGAGUGGUGCUAUGAUAUCAUAACAACUAAGAUCAAAGCGCAACUAGGCUGUCAUAAGCUCAAGAUGUACUUAAGGCCCUCCUCAAAAUGAUCCUAGCACUCCCGAUUGAUUUAACCCCACGAAAGCUAGGGCACAAACUGGGAUUAGAUACCCCAUUAUGCCUAGCCCUAAAUCUUGAUGUCUUGCCACUACCAAAGCAUCCGCCUGAGAACUACGAGCACAAACGCUUAAAACUCUAAGGACUUGGCGGUGCCCCAAACCCACCUAGAGGAGCCUGUUCUAUAAUCGAUAACCCACGAUCCACCCGACCACCCCUUGCCAGAGGCAGCCUACAUACCGCCGUCGCCAGUUCACCUUCCCUGAGAGCCCCGCAGUGAACACAAUAGCCUAGCCCCGCUAACAAGACAGGUCGAGGUAUAGCCUAUGGGGUGGAAGAAAUGGGCU
rnacentral:rRNA from 1 species